rnacentral:rRNA from 1 species
AUUGAACGCUGGCGGCAUGCCUUACACAUGCAAGUCGAACGGCAGCACGGGAGCAAUCCUGGUGGCGAGUGGCGAACGGGUGAGUAAUAUAUCGGAACGUGCCCGGUCGUGGGGAUAACGUAGCGAAAGCUACGCUAAUACCGCAUACGAUCUACGGAUGAAAGCGGGGGUCGCAAGACCUCGCGCGAUUGGAGCGGCCGAUAUCAGAUUAGGUAGUUGGUGAGGUAAAGGCUCACCAAGCCGACGAUCUGUAGCUGGUCUGAGAGGACGACCAGCCACACUGGGACUGAGACACGGCCCAGACUCCUACGGGAGGCAGCAGUGGGGGAAUUUUGGACAAUGGACGCAAGUCUGAUCCAGCCAUUCCGCGUGCAGGAUGAAGGCCCUCGGGUUGUAAACUG